rnacentral:rRNA from 1 species
GAUGAACGCUGGCGGCGUGCCUAAUACAUGCAAGUCGAGCGAAGCGGGGCCGGGGGAGUAACACGUGGAUAACCUCCUAUAAGACUGGGAUAACUUCGGGCAACCGGAGCUAAACCGGAUACUUAUAGAUGUAUCCGCGCUGCCUUAGCUAGUUGGUAAGGUAACGUCUUACCAAGGCAACGAGCCAUAGCCGACCUGGAAGGGUGAUCGGCCACACUGGAACCGAGUCACGGGCCAGACUCCGACCGGAGGCAGCAGUAGGGAAUAUUUCGCAAUGGGCGAAAGCCUGACGGAGCAACGCCUCGUGAGUGAUGAAGGUCUUCGGAUCGUAAAUCGAUGUUAUUAGUGAAGCGGUACCUAAUCAGAAAGCCCCGGCUAACUACGUGCCAGAAGCCGCGGUAAUAC